GAGAAGAACGCAGCGAAAUGCGAUAAGUAAUGUGAAUUGCAGAAUUCAGUGAAUCAUCGAAUCUUUGAACGCACCUUGCGCCCUUUGGCCAUUCCGAAGGGCAUGCCUGUUUGAGUAUCAUGAACACCUCAACUCUUUAUGGUUUUCCAUGAUGAGCUUGGACUCUGGGGGUUUUGCUGGCUCACAGUCGGCUCCUCUAAAAUGAAUCAGCUUACCAGUGUUUGGUGGGUAUCAUGGGUGUGAUAACUAUCUACGCUUGUGGUUUUUCCACCAGGUAACCUUCAGCAGUGGAGGUUCGCUGGAGCUCAUAGAUGUCUCUCCUCAGUGAGGACAGCCCUUUGAAUGUUUGAUCUCAAAUCAGGUAGGACUACCCGCUGAACUUAAGCAUAUCAAUAAGCGGAGGA
rnacentral:misc_RNA from 1 species